rnacentral:rRNA from 1 species
UAGUAUUAGUUAUGUUCUUGAAAAUUAAAAGAGUUGGCGGUAUUUUAGUCUAUUCAGAGGAACCUGUCCUAUAAUUGAUGGUCCACGAUCUUUAGUACUUAAUUUCUAUAAGUUUGCAUAUCGCCGUAGGUUGAAUAUUUUUUAAAGAUUAUAAUGUUCAAGAUUUUUUUUAAGAAAGGAAUUCAGGUCAAGAUGUAGUUGAUAAUUAAGAAGAGAUGGGUUACAAUAAGUUUACUUAUAACGGAUUAAUUUAAUGAAAUUUUUUAUGAAGGUGGAUUUGAGGGUAA